AAAAAGACUUAUUCAACUGAGAAAACACAGACUAGUUAUUACAUUGGUGAGCUGAGACAGACGUGUUUGAUAGUCUUUCACACUUCAAUUAGUGGGGAGUAGUACAGAGGAAGAGAUAGAGGACAGAUCGAAUUAGUCUUUGUGAAAGCAGCUUGAAUUGAAGCCUGUGCAACCAGAAAAAGAAAAGAAUCGUGUGUGUUUGUAAGAAGAAAAAUAUUUUUCAAAUCACAAAGACUGUUCCAAGAUUAUUUUCUACAACAGACAAAAGCACAUGUUAUGAAGAAAGCAGCACAGAUACAACGUGUAUUCUGCAAGCAAGCACGUGGCAGAGAUUGGCAAGCGUCCAGAAGAUAAUCCACAGUGCGCAGCUGCAUGAGUGAAGACAGAUGGUGUCAUGCAUUAAAGAUAAUCUUGUCUGGUGAGUAAUAAUGGAUUUUGUUACUGAUAUUGCAGAGAAAAGUAAACUUGAUUUUGUAAUUAAUAGCAGCUAUACAGAUAGUCAAUUAUGGGCAAGUUUGUAUGAGCAGUGUAAACAAGCAAACACAGCAAUUGGUAAUAAAUUGUUAUGUUUAAAUAAAACAAAAAAGAAGAUUAGAAAUGUUUUAAAAUUGGUAGAAACAUUUGACACAAUGAUUCUUAGAACAGGAGUGUCUCUGACAAAAUUGCAAGUACCAAAACAAGUAGAGGUGAAAGAUUUUAAAAGUACACAGACAGACAUUAAAGAUAAAUCUUUGUGAGUAACAGAAAUUAAAUGUACUAACUGUGACAGACUUCAGGCAAAACAGUUGGAUCUUAAGUCUGAACUGGUUUCUAAAAUUAGAACUGAAGCCAAACAGUUGUGUGUGAUUACAAGGAGUUAUCAUAAUUUGAGCCAGUCGAUGUCACAGAAAUAUUAUCACAGUCUGAUUUGCAAUGUAGAAAAUUGUUAGAUAAAGCUGCAAAACGUAAUUCAAGAGCAGUUGAUGAAAGUUUCCAAAAAUAUUUCUCCAUAUAAUCCAUCAAUAGAUGCCUUUGGUAUUGCAGACGUAUUUGAGUCUAAUGUAUCAAAACAUAAUUUGAAUGACAAACAAAGGAACAGAUUGUUUAAAAUAUGGCUGCCAACGUACAUUGCACGUUGAUUGACCCCACCUAUCAGUUCCCACUCUGGUGAAGAUGGUGAACUUGUACACGGGAAUGAGCGAGGUAGAUUGAUACAAUUAAUAAGAUUAACAACAGGAAAUGAGAGUGUGGAUAUUGAGGGUUUAGAAAAAUUAAAACCAAAUAUAAAUGACGAUGUAUUCAGUUUCAUUUUGAAAUUUGAACGAACAUAUAGGUUGCUAAUGGGCAUUCCUGAUGAUCAGACACCAAAAUCUAUGAUAAAUGCAUUCAUACAAAUUUUUUAAUUUCUAGAUCCUAUAUCUAUUGCAUGUGCACUGCAGUGUCAAACUAUUGAGGAUGCAGCAUCAUUUCUAGAUAGGGUUAAGAUAGAAUCAAGACAACAAAACAGUUAAAAAUCUGUCUGUGAAAUAAAGAGAGACAGGAGGGACUAACAGCCCAGGCACAGGAAAAGCCCUCCUCAUUCGUCUCCUGCAGCUGUUAGAUCACAGACAAAGAGAAGAGAUGUCCAAACUUUUAACAACCCCCACUCACACUAUGAAAAAAACUCGACAUAUGGUCUUGUCUGUUUCUAUUGCAAUAAGCAAGGCCAUAUAAAAAGAAACUGCAGGAAAUAUUUUUUUAUGAUUUACAAUCAAGUGAUCAUGGUAAAUCAAAUGGAUUUAUUCAAAAUAAUCAUAAUAUAGAAAACAACAGAGAUUAACCAUAUAGUCCUCUGAUAAGGCAAGUGAGAGAAAUUGUAGCUUCUUCAAAUACUGGAGACAGACAGGGUGUGAUUUCCAACAUUUCUAAUGAGGCAGACCAAAUUUUAAAAAAUGACAAUCUGAAGGUAUAUAACAAGUUACAACUACUUUUAUCACCAAGUGCACCUAUAUGUACAAUUGUAGGAUUUGACAGAGGUUACUUUGGAAAUACCUCAGUGUUUAAAAACAAAAAUGAUAUCUGGUACUGGAAAAAUUUUGAUUAUAUCAUAGGCACAGAUGUUAUGCAAAGAAGAGGUUGGAUUGUUGACUUGGGAAACAAAGUUAUUUGGAAAAAUGCUAAGGGUAGGAAACCAGUGCUAUUGGAUCCUUCUGAAUAUGGGGAGUUAGGAAUUGUUUGUCCAGUAGAAGUAGUAUCUAAAGAAAUGCAAUGGCCUAAUACUAGGGAUAACCUUGAACUUAAAGAGAUUGUACAGAGUUAUCCAGAUUUAUGGGCGCAAAGUAAAAAUUAAUGUGGAAGGUUUAAAAAUGUGUUGACUGACAUUCAAGGUCCUGAUCCACUCCCACAGAGCCAGUAUCGAUUACCCCCAGAUUCAAUUGAUUCUAUUGCAAGUGUCACUAAUGAUUUGAAACAGAGAGGGGUGAUUAGGAAAGCAAAUAGUCCAUGUAACAGUAACAUUUGGCCAGUAUUAAAAGUUUGCUUUUACGUUUCAAAAUCAGCAAUAUGUGUUUACUGUGUUACCUCAGGGAUUUCACAGUUCUCCAAUAUAUUUUCAUCAGGCCUUGGUAAAUGUUUUGGCUAUGUUUUCUAGGCCAGAAUGCUUGUUACAAUAUGUUGAUGAUAUGAUUUUGUAAACUGAAACUGAGGAAGAACACCUAAUUCUGUUAAAUUAAUUAUUUUUCCUUUUGCAGAACUCUGGGUUAAAACUGAACACACGCAAAGUAACACUAAUGCAACCAGAGGUACAAUACUUGGUUAUGCACAUUGGUCCAGGACAUAAGAAACCAGUGCAGGAAAUAAAUCAAAGCUAUUGGACAGAUGAACAUCAGAAUGCAUUUGAGGUACUUAAAAGAGACUUACAGGUUGCACCUGCUUUAGCAACAAUACAUCCAACUGCAUCCUUUGCAAUUCAAGUAUAUACUUCAGAGACAGCUGUCUCAGCAUUACUAUUACAAUUGCAGCAAGAGAUAUGGAGAAUAGUUGGAUAUUUUUCUAAAAUUCUUUCCCCAGUAGAAAGAGGGCUAGAAAUUUGUGCUAGACAUUUGGUAGGAGUGCAUUUUGCAGUAAUGACAACUGAACACAUAGUGGGAUUCAAGGACGUAAUUCUGCAAACACCACACACACCUUUGAAAUUACUUCUUGAAAAAGGAAUUCCAAGUGUGUCACAUCAGAGAUUUUCACAAUGGUUAAUAGCUCUAUCACCAAAGCAGAUUAAGGUAGAACAUAAGGUAAAGUAUGUACAUCUACAACUAAUGCAAUAUGAAGGCAAAGCCCAUGAAAGUUUAUCAGAACUUGAAGAGAAUUUUCUUACUCUUUUCAGAAAGGAAGCAAAUGAAUCUGAUGAACCUGUGUUUGUUGAUGGGUCCAGAUUCUGUUUAGAUGGGAAGUAACAUACAGGUUAUGCCAAAUGGUAUCCAAAAUGAGGAUAUUCAGUAGAACAUAAAUUGUCAGGUAAUUUGUCAGCACAGAGAGCAGAACUAGAAGCAUUAAAAACAGUACUAAAACUUGAGGAAAAAGAAGGGCGUCCCAUAGUGAUAUAUAGUGACAGUUCAUAUGUGGUCAGAUCUCUAACAGAACAUUUAGCUAUAUGGAAAAGAAGAGGUUUCGUAGAUACAUGCUAUAGUUAAAGUUCCUGCCCACCAAAAAGGUAAAGAUGUACUUAGUGCAGAAAAUGAAAUAGCUGAUAAAUUUGCAAAAAGAGCAGCUUUAACAGAGGAAAAUGCAUUGCAGACAGAGUCUAUGUCAGUAGCAGUGGUUAGAAAGACCAACACACAGCUUCCAACAGGCAAAGGAUUCUUUCCUUGCGGCUUCUAGGGUUGAUCCAAAACCUCCAUUUGUUCAUGAGAACAGGGUUUUGCGUCAUGACCAAAACUGAGAACUGUGUCUUGUCAUGUCAGAACAUCUAAAAGUGUCAUUUGCACAAUAUAAUCAUGAAAGUUUAGGUCAUAUUGGACAGCAGAAACUGUUAGAGGUACUCAGAAAUAAGUUUUAUUGGAAAAGACUGUACAACAGGUAGUAAAAUCAUGUUUGAUAUGUGCACAAAUAAAUCCCAGACCUAAAGGACAAAAAACACCUAUACAACGUAUAGCACCUGCAAAUGGUCCUUUGUCUACCUUACAAAUUGACUUCAUUGGGCCAUUACCAACAGGUAAGAAUAGAUUAAAGUAUGUGUUGGUAGUGGUGGAUGUAUUCUCUAAAUGGUUGAAAGUAAUUCCUCUAACAAAAGAGGAUUCACAAAGGACAGCUUUAGUGUCAUGGACACACAUUUUGGGGUAUUUCCUAGACUUCUAGAGUCAGACAGCACUGUGUGCUAUUCUACGCAUAGAGCAAAGAUUCCAUGUUCCAUAUCACCCACAAUCUGCUGGGAUUGUGUAACGUAUGAAUCGAACAUUGAAAUCUAGACUUUCAAAAAUGUUACUUGAGAAAGGCAACACAUGGGUAUUUGAGGCACUAUGUCUUCAGCUACACAAUACACUCCAUUUGAAUUAAUGACAGGCAGGAAAAUGCAGUUGAAUUUUCCUAAUGAACCAUAUUUGUCUACCCCACAGAAAGAUUCAACUGAGAAGGUCCUUACAAAAUAACAGAUACAAUGGGACAAACAAUGGGAUAAGUGCAAAGACCUCUUGAUGGUUCACGGAAUAAACGGAGGCAAAAUAGUUUUUGGGUUCAUGCAGAUCAGUGAAAAUUGUAUAAACCUACAACAUAAUUUGAUAAUAUAUUGAUACUGCUUUGUUUUUCUUGGUUUUAUAUUAGAUCAUUUGUAAGCA